CGUGUAGGCGGUCUGUUAAGUCGGCUGUGAAAGCCCAUGGCUCAACCAUGGAAGUGCAGUCGAUACUGGCGGGCUAGAGUCCCGGAGAGGGUGGUGGAAUUCCCAGUGUAGAGGUGAAAUUCGUAGAUAUUGGGAGGAACACCGGUGGCGAAGGCGACCACCUGGACGGGUACUGACGCUGAGACGCGAAAGCGUGGGGAGCAAACA
rnacentral:rRNA from 1 species